AGCAGCCGCGGUAAUUCCAGCUCCAAUAGCGUAUAUUAAAGUUGCUGCAGUUAAAAAGCUCGUAGUUGAAUUUCGGGGUCAAUAUGUUGGUCGUGCCUUGGUACGUACUAGCUUAUUGAUUUCUCCUUUCUGACGAACCAUGAUGUCAUUUAUUUGGUGUCGUGGAAAAUCAGGACUGUUACUUUGAAAAAUUAGAGUGUUUAAAGCAGGCUCACGCUUGAAUACAUUAGCAUGGAAUAAUGAAAUAGGACGUUUGAUUCUAUUUUGUUGGUUUCUAGGAUCGACGUAAUGAUUAAUAGGGAUAG
rnacentral:rRNA from 1 species